CAGCCGCCGCGGGAAUACGAAGGGGGCUAGCGUUGUUCGGAAUUACUGGGCGUAAAGCGCACGCAGGCGGCUCGAUAAAUUAGAAGUGAAAGCCUUGGGCUUAACCUGAGAAUUGCUUUUAAGACUGUCGAGCUAGAAUCCAGAAGAGGGUAGUGGAAUUCCGAGUGUAGAGGUGAAAUUCGUAGAUAUUCGGAAGAACACCAGUGGCGAAGGCGACUACCUGGUCUGGCAUUGACGCUCAUGUGCGAAAGCGUGGGGAGCAAACAGGAUUAGAUACCCGUGUAGUUCCUGUCUCUUAUAC
rnacentral:rRNA from 1 species